rnacentral:rRNA from 1 species
GAUGAACGCUAGCGGCAGGCUUAAUACAUGCAAGUCGUGGGGCAGCAUGUCCCGCAGCAAUGCGGGAUGAUGGCGACCGGCAAACGGGUGCGGAACACGUACGCAACCUUCCUUUAACUGGAGAAUAGCCCGGGGAAACCCGGAUUAAUACUCCGUAACAUUAUGAAGUGGCAUCACUUUAUAAUUAUAGCUCCGGCGGUUGAAGAUGGGCGUGCGUCUGAUUAGGUAGUUGGCGGGGUAACGGCCCACCAAGCCUACGAUCAGUAACUG